AGAAAGUUGGAAGUGGAAAAUAUAAUCCCCAGAGUAGCAUUUCAUUUGAUAUGUGUGCAGCAGGUCCAUUUUGGGAACUGCCUGAUGGUUUGAAGAAUAACACCAAUCUCAUUGAAAACAUUUUUGAAAAACUACCAACUGCUGAAAUACAGGCACAUAACACAGUGGACUUGAGAACAGCAGAAAAAGCAUUGACUGAUAAUGAAAAAAUUGUAUCAGAAGAAUGCUUAAGUGGUCUUCAGAACAAGAAGAAAUGUUCUUGAGGAACUACUUCUGGGGAGCCUGAACCUGAUUUAGAUGAGAUCCAAGACUGUACUGAUGUCAUAAUGAAAUGUUUCCAUCAAUGGGAAGUGUGGGAAGAAUGCAGGAGAAUGGGGAGAGUGAGAGAGAAGGAAUCAAGGAGAAAAAUAGAGAGGCAAGACAUUUAUGGGACACAGAAAUGGAUGGCUAUCUGUUGAUCAUAACAUGUAUGGAAUUUUAUCAUGGAUCCAAUUGGGUCUUCUAUGUAUACA